AAACGGAGGGGGCAAGCGUUGUUCGGAAUUACUGGGCGUAAAGCGCGCAUAGGCGGGCUGGUUAGUUGGGGGUGAAAUCCCAGGGCUUAACCCUGGAACUGCCUCCAAUACUGCCAGUCUAGAGUUCGAGAGAGGUGAGUGGAAUUCCUAGUGUAGAGGUGAAAUUCGUAGAUAUUAGGAAGAACACCAGUGGCGAAGGCGGCUCACUGGCUCGAUACUGACGCUGAGGUGCGAAAGCGUGGGGAGCAAACAGAAUUAGAAACCCUAGUAGUCC
rnacentral:rRNA from 1 species